AGUGAACGCUGGCGGUAGGCCUAACACAUGCAAGUCGAACGGCAGCACAGUAAGAGCUUGCUCUUACGGGUGGCGAGUGGCGGACGGGUGAGGAAUACAUCGGAAUCUACUUUUUCGUGGGGGAUAACGUAGGGAAACUUACGCUAAUACCGCAUACGACCUACGGGUGAAAGCAGGGGAUCUUCGGACCUUGCGCGAUUGAAUGAGCCGAUGUCGGAUUAGAUAGUUGGCGGGGUAAAGGCCCACCAAGGCGACGCUCCGUAGCUGGUCUGAGAGGAUGAUCAGCCACACUGGAACUGAGACACGGUCCAGACUCCUACGGGAGGCAGCAGUGGGGAAUAUUGGACAAUGGGCGCAAGCCUGAUCCAGCCAUACCGCGUGGGUGAAGAAGGCCUUCGGGUUGUAAAGCCCUUUUGUUGGGAAAGAAAAGCAGCAGGUUAAUACCCCGCUGUUCUGACGGUACCCAAAGAAUAAGCACCGGCUAACUUCGUG
rnacentral:rRNA from 1 species